CAAGACUGUGGGCAUUUUUCUACAUGUAGAAGCUGAGACCUGCGAAGGAGCAUGCGAGGUCCUGGCAUCGAGGCAUUAGCCUCGCUUUUGGCAUAUAUUCUGGCUGGCAUCCGAAUAGCUCAAUUUUGGUGGCAAGGACAAGACAAAUACUAGGGGUUGUACUACACAUAACACUAAUACUAAUGCCACCUCGGGCCGGG
ensembl:ncRNA lncRNA:CR45515 long non-coding RNA:CR45515